rnacentral:rRNA from 1 species
AGAGUUUGAUCCUGGCUUAGAUUGAACGCUGGCGGCAGGCCUAACACAUGUAAGUCGAACGUGAAAGCUUUUUCGGGAGUUAGUAGAGUGGCGAACGGGUGAGUAACGCGUAGGAAUUUACUUAGGAGUGGGGGACAAUUCGAGGAAACUCGGGCUAAUACCGCAUAUGUCUUACGGGGUAAAGUGGGGGAUCUUUCGGGGCCUUGCGCUUCUGGAUGAGCUUGCGUCGGAUUAGCUUGUUGGUAGGGUAACGGCCUACCAAGGCGACGAUCUGUAGCUGGUCUGAGAGGAUGAUCAGUUACACUGGGACUGAGACACGGUCCAGACUUUUACGGGAGGCAGCAGUGGGGAAUAUUGGACAAUGGGUGCAAGCCUGAUCCAGCCAUGUCGCGUGUGUGAAGAAGGCUUUCGGGUUGUAAAGCACUUUUAGUGGGGAAGAAAAGCCUGGGGUUAAUACUUUUGAGUCUUGACGGUACCCACAGAAGAAGCACCGGUUAAUUCCGUGCCAGCAGUCGCGGUAAUAUGGAAGGUGCAAGCGUUAAUCGGAAUCACUGGGUGUAAAGCGUGCGUAGGUGGUUUGGUAAGUCAGAUGUGAAAGCUUUGGGCUUAACCUGGGAACUGCAUUUGAUACUGCCUCACUGGAGUGUAGUAGAGGGAAGCGGAAUUCCACAUGUAGCGGUGAAAUGCGUAGAGAUGUGGAGGAACACCAAUGGCGAAGGCAGCUUUCUGGACUAACACUGACGCUGAGGUGCGAAAGCGUGGGGAGCAAACAGAAUUAGAUAUCCUGGUAGUCCACGCUGUAAACGAUGAGAACUAGUUGUUGGGAGCAUCUGGCUCUUAGUGGCGCAGCUAACGUGAUAAGUUCUCUGCUUGGGGAGUAUGGCUGCAAGGUUAAAACUCAAAGGAAUUGACGGGGGUUUGCACAAGUGGUGGAGCAUGUGGUUUAAUUCGAUGCAACGCGAAGAACCUUACCUGCCCUUGACAUCUUGGGAACUUUCUAGAGAUAGAAAGGUGCCUUCGGGAACCCAGUGACAGGUGCUGCAUGGCUGUCGUCAGCUUGUGUCGUGAGAUGUUGGGUUAAGUUUCGUAACGAGCGCAACCUUUGUCCUUAGUUGCCAGCGGUUCGGCCGGGGAUUCUAAGGAGACUGCCGGUGACAAACCGGAGGAAGGUGGGGAUGACGUCAAGUCAUCAUGGCUUUUAUGGGCAGGGCUAUACACGUGCUACAAUGGGCGGUACAGAGGGAAGUCAACCCGUGAGGGGGAGCCAAUUCCAUAAAACCGUUCGUAGUCUGGAUUGCAGUCUGCAACUCGACUGCAUGAAGUCGGAAUCGCUAGUAAUCGCGGAUCAGAACGCCGCGGUGAAUACGUUCCCGGGCCUUGUACACACCGCCCGUCACACCAUGGGAGUGGGUUGUACCAGAAGUAGGUAGUCUAACCUUCGGGAGGACGCUUACCAUGGUAUGGUUCAUGACUGGGGUGAAGUCGUAACA